CCUACGGGGGGCUGCAGUCGAGAAUCUUCGGCAAUGGACGAAAGUCUGACCGAGCGACGCCGCGUGCGGGAUGAAGGCCUUCGGGUUGUAAACCGCUGUCAGUUGGGAGGAAAUCACAUGGGGUUCUCUCCAUGUGUUGACCUAUCUUCAGAGGAAGGACGGGCUAAGUUCGUGCCAGCAGCCGCGGUAAGACGAACCGUCCAAACGUUAUUCGGAAUUACUGGGCUUAAAGGGUGCGUAGGCGGCCCUGUAAGUUGGGUGUGAAAUCCCUCGGCUCAACCGAGGAAUUGCGCCCAAUACUGCAGGGCUAGAGGGAGACAGAGGUGAGCGGAACUUGUGGUGGAGCGGUGAAAUGCGUUGAUAUUACAAGGAACACCUGUGGCGAAAGCGGCUCACUGGGUCUCUUCUGACGCUGAGGCACGAAAGCUGGGGGAGCGAACGGGAUUAGAUACCCCGGUAGUC
rnacentral:rRNA from 1 species